rnacentral:rRNA from 1 species
AUUGAACGCUGGCGGCAGGCUUAACACAUGCAAGUCGAGCGGGGUGAUGGUGCUUGCACUAUCACUUAGCGGCGGACGGGUGAGUAAUGCUUAGGAAUCUGCCUAUUAGUGGGGGACAACAUCUCGAAAGGGAUGCUAAUACCGCAUACGUCCUACGGGAGAAAGCAGGGGAUCACUUGUGACCUUGCGCUAAUAGAUGAGCCUAAGUCGGAUUAGCUAGUUGGUGGGGUAAAGGCCUACCAAGGCGACGAUCUGUAGCGGGUCUGAGAGGAUGAGCCGCCACACUGGGACUGAGACACGGCCCAGACUCCUACGGGAGGCAGCAGGGGGGAAUAUUGGACAAUGGGGGGAACCCUGAUCCAGCCAUGCCGCGUGUGUGAAGAAGGCCUUAUGGUUGUAAAGCACUUUAAGCGAGGAGGAGGCUCUUUUGGUUAAUACCCAAGAUGAGUGGACGUUACUCGCAGAAUAAGCACCGGCUAACUCUGUGCCAGCAGCCGCGGUAA